ensembl:lncRNA
CGGGGAAGCAUGGUGGUGGCAGCAUCAUGCUGUGGGGAUGUUUUUCAGCGGCAGCGACUGGGAGACUAGUCAGGAUUGAGGCAAAGAUGAACAGAGCAAAGUACAGAGAGAUCCUUGAUGAGAACCUGCUCCAGCUCAACAGCUCAGACUGGGGACAAGGUUCACCUCCAGUUGCUUGCUGUCGCCAGAUGUGUGACGUGAACCGUUUCUACCAGAAAUGGAGAAAGCUCUAAGCUGCCACAAGAUGAGUGCCCCGAUCUUCAGCCACACCUCCCUCUGCCAGCAGGUGUACACCAGAGGGUUGAUGAGGGGGUUGGACAGCCCCAGCAGCUACAGGUCGUUCUCCAGCACCUUGUACAACUCACAGCCCUCACACAGCACCUGCACCACACACACCACAAACGGCACGAGCAGAUGGUGAAACAGACCACCAACAGAGCCACAGUCCUCAGGGCCUUGGCGUGGCCCCAGUAGUGGCUGCCUGUGGAAGCCUUUAGCUGGCCUGACGGAUCUGCACCUGGUGGCCGCAGGCAAUCUUCAGGAUGUCCAGGUAGAAGUAGUUGAAGACAGAGAGGAUGGGGAAGAAGCCAGCACAGAACACCACAAUGAAGCCCCGAGGACGGAUGACAGAGAAGAAGGUGCAAAGAUUGCUGCUGUUGAAGUUUCUCUGCUGUAGCUGCCGCACCAUGCCUGCAGAGCAGAGGAGAAUAACAAACAUACUAUAUGAUACUGUAUUUAGAUUAUUAGUGUAAAAAUAUAUCAUGUUCAUUAUCCAGUUGAUCAAGAAUUCACAAAUUGAGUCUGUUCAUCCCCUGAAUUGAAAUGAAACCCUGUUGUUAGGGACAUCAAGGUAUCUGGCAUGGCCAGGUUGAUAACGAAGCACCAGCUCUGACUGCCCUCCCUGCACAUUAGCUUAAACAGAGCAGCAGCUACCAGCAGGUUGGUUGAGAUAAUGAGGAGACAGGCCACACUCAGGAUCCAUCCCAUAAUUUCUGGCGUCAUUGAGGUGCAGACAACAGGGGUUGGUAUAGGUCUCACACCAGGCAUCAUGGCCGUGAGGUUGCCACCCGACUCUCCUAUCCAGCAUGUCUUAUUGUAAGCUGCCAGUGAGUCAUUUACAAGCUCUAAGUCCUGUAUAUCUGUGAGAUCCCCACCCCCUCAAAACAAAUCAAUUAUAUCCACCAACAUCCACUCCUGCUGUGGUAUAUUGACAUUUGAAUCCAAAGACUCUUUUUCCUAUUUGUAUUGACUUCUGUAAAUGUUUCUUGUUAAUAUCUUUCUUUGUCAAACUCCUUGUAAAACAAUAAUAAAAAGUGCUGUUAAUUAAACAUUUAUGGAAAGAAAGGUAGAACAUUCAGAGGGUACUCAUCCACUCCUGAUGUGCCUUUGCUCCUGAGAGG